AGAUUUUUUAGUUCGAGCAUUUACUACGUUUCUUCUGAUAAGAAGAAUUGAAAUGACACCAGAAAGUACUGCAGAGAGAGAGGAGCAGACCUGGUGAUCAUAAACAGCAUCGAAGAACAGGAGUUCAUCAGUAAAUAUUUUGUAUACCAUAAAGCUUGGAUUGGUCUGACUGACAUAGUCAGAGAGGGUGACUUUAAAUGGGUGGACGGUUCACCACUGAUCACUGCGUUCUGGUGGAACGGUGAACCCAACAAUAUUGUGGUAGAAGAGGACUGUGUUAUAACAGCCUAUAUAUUUGCUAAAUAUAACAUGUCAUGGGUUGAUUUUCCAUGUAACUCCUCUGUAGUUGGAAUUUGUGAGAUGAAAUUAUUUAACUGAGCUCACUGAAGUCAACAGCUGAAACUGAUUAAAUCAGAAUUUGUAUAUUAAAUAUAUUUUGU